UUGAUUUAAAUGUAUCUGUUGAGGGGAAAAUAAUCAAUGCAAAUUCCCUGGCAGUGAAGCCAACAAAUAAGACAUGUCUGAUUCAUCAGGCGGACAUUGCUAUAAAGAGCACCUUUUUCUCCUUUGUCCCAUUUCUGCCUCCCUCCUCCUCCUGCUUCUCUGUUUUUUUCCUCUCGAUCUCUCCUCUUGCUCACCUCUGGGCCACUUMUUUUGCUCCCUUCACCUUUCUGUACCCCCCGAAAAAUCUUAGUCUGAAUUUGUGGAGGAAGCUUAAAGAUCUAUACUUAUGGGAUUUUAUCAUAGGCACCAAAUUAAGUUAAAUCAACCCAAACACUCCCCAGGGGCAGUGGUGGGCACGGCUAUACAAAAAGCUUUUGCAGCUGGGCUACCCUGCCUUACUUGGAUGCAUCAACAAAGCUUGAAGUGGCCACUCUAAUCUGGUUUUUUUAAUCUUCCCUCCAGCUUUCUGAGACCCUCCUAGCGCCCCCUGGCAACUUCGGGGUAUCAACCAGCUCUUUGUGAAAAAAAAAAAAAACUGUCCUAAAUCAUUGUUCAAACCUUCAUGUUAUUGUGAGUCCCUGUUUUAUUCAGACAUACUCUAAUGCAAAGUCUGUGUUUGCUGUUUUCUGUAGUGGUUGUCUCAUUAUAGAUAUAUGUACCAAUACAAGUACCCAUACAAAGUACACUGAGUAUUGUGUAUCUGCAUUGAUAUCAAAGCGUUACAGUUUACAUUUCAAGUUUUCUGUUCUAUGUUUAAGAAGAUUGUCCUGGAAAAAUAAAUUAUCCUUUAAAGUCUUACAUUUCUUCUCUGGGCAGGAGUCAGUGAGCUCUUUUGCUUGUUUUAAAAUGUCACCAUGUUUUAUGAUUUUACUAUUUAUCUUCAGUUUUCUCUCAGAGUGUUUUAAGAUCAGGACCAUAUCUGUUGGAAAUAAUCAUUCUUGUUACUGUCUAUCCAACAUCAUUCUCUCCUUGGCUCCGUUUCAGCACCAAGAGAGAUGUUUGUUUGUCUUGAUAAUAUUCUGUAUAAAUGCAUGUAUUUGAAACUGCCUCGGUGCACACAUUCUGUACCACUGCCUGUGUGACAUGAUGUGUGUCUUGCAUAUUGCAAUAAAUCCUGAUUGACCUUU